AUCGGGUUUUCUUAACGGGGGCCCCCCUUUUUUUUUCUCUGACCCCAUUACACGUGGGUAACCUGCCUGUAAGACGGGGAUAACUCCGGGAAACCGGAGCUAAUACCGGAUGAUAACGAGAAGCGCCUGCUUCUUUUUUGAAAGUCGGUUUCGGCUGACGCUUACAGAUGGGCCCGCGGCGCAUUAGCUAGUUGGUGAGGUAACGGCUCACCAAGGCGACGAUGCGUAGCCGACCUGAGAGGGUGAUCGGCCACACUGGGACUGAGACACGGCCCAGACUCCUACGGGAGGCAGCAGUAGGGAAUCUUCGGCAAUGGACGAAAGUCUGACCGAGCAACGCCGCGUGAGCGAUGAAGGCCUUCGGGUCGUAAAGCUCUGUUGUCAGAGAAGAACAAGUACCGGAGUAACUGCCGGUACCUUGACGGUACCUGACCAGAAAGCCACGGCUAACUACGUGCCAGCAGCCGCGGUAAUACGUAGGUGGCAAGCGUUAUCCGGAAUUAUUGGGCGUAAAGCGCGCGCAGGCGGUCUUUUAAGUCUGAUGUGAAAGCCCACGGCUCAACCGUGGAGGGUCAUUGGAAACUGGGAGACUUGAGUGCAGGAGAGAAAAGUGGAAUUCCACGUGUAGCGGUGAAAUGCGUAGAGAUGUGGAGGAACACCAGUGGCGAAGGCGGCUUUUUGGUCUGUAACUGACGCUGAGGCGCGAAAGCGUGGGGAGCAAACAUGAUUAGAUACCCUGGUAGUCCACGCCGUAAACAAUGAGUGCUAGGUGUUGGGGGGUUCCACCCGCCCUGCUGACAU
rnacentral:rRNA from 2 species